rnacentral:rRNA from 1 species
UACGUAGGGUGCGAGCGUUAAUCGGAAUUACUGGGCGUAAAGCGUGCGCAGGCGGUUCGUUAUGUCCGAUGUGAAAGCCCCGAGCUCAACUUGGGAAUGGCAUUGGAAACUGGCGGGCUGGAGUGUGGCAGAGGGGGGUGGAAUUCCACGUGUAGCAGUGAAAUGCGUAGAGAUGUGGAGGAACACCGAUGGCGAAGGCAGCCCCCUGGGCCAACACUGACGCUCAGGCACGAAGGCCAGGGGAGCAAACGGG